AGUCGCCACGGUAAAACGGAGGGGGCUAGCGUUGUUCGGAAUUACUGGGCGUAAAGCGCACGUAGGCGGCUUUGUAAGUUAGAGGUGAAAGCCUGGGGCUCAACUCCAGAAUUGCCUUUAAGACUGCAUCGCUUGAACGUCGGAGAGGUGAGUGGAAUUCCGAGUGUAGAGGUGAAAUUCGUAGAUAUUCGGAAGAACACCAGUGGCGAAGGCGGCUCACUGGACGACUGUUGACGCUGAGGUGCGAAAGCGUGGGGAGCAAACAGGAUUAGAUACCCCCGUAGUCCCUGUCUCUUAUACC
rnacentral:rRNA from 1 species